UACGGGGGGGGCAAGCGUUGUUCGGAUUUACUGGGCGUAAAGGGCGCGUAGGCGGCCACCGCAAGUCGACUGUGAAAUCUCCGGGCUUAACCCGGAAAGGUCAGCCGAUACUGCGGGGCUAGAGUGCAGAAGGGGCAACUGGAAUUCUCGGUGUAGCGGUGAAAUGCGUAGAUAUCGAGAGGAACACCUGCGGCGAAGGCGGGUUGCUGGGCUGACACUGACGCUGAGGCGCGAAAGCGUGGGGAGCGAACAGG
rnacentral:rRNA from 1 species